rnacentral:rRNA from 1 species
UACAGAGGGGGCAAGCGUUGUUCGGAAUUACUGGGCGUAAAGGGCGCGUAGGCAGCCUGCUAAGUCGAACGUGAAAUCCCCGAGCUCAACUCGGGAACUGCGUCCGAUACUGGCAGGCUUGAAUCCGGGAGAGGGAUGCGGAAUUCCAGGUGUAGCGGUGAAAUGCGUAGAUAUCUGGAGGAACACCGGUGGCGAAGGCGGCAUCCUGGACCGGCAUUGACGCUGAGGCGCGAAAGCCAGGGGAGCAAACGGG